UCCAUUAAGAUCACAGGCAGGAGAGACAUCUGAGGUACAAACAUUGUUAUAUUAAUGAGCUACAUUAAUUUUGACGGAGCCGUGCUAUUUCACCCAGAUGAGAACUGGCUCAUUUAUUAUAAUUAUUUUUAGUCUGUAGCAUCUGGGAACUCCAUUACAUUAGGCACCUUCCAAACAAUUUACUUGCUGGGUCAAAUCAUUCUCUUCAUUCGUUGUUAACGCGCUUAACCCCACCGCUGGCCAGCUCGACGGAGAGGAGGUUUCUCAGAAGUAGAGAGGGCUCUGCAAGAACAGGAGCGCUUCGUGCUCCGCAGCCAGAGAGGCCAAGGGCCGAGUUGUUCGCGUGGUUUCAGGCAGGAGGUUUAUUUGGUAACUCGCUGUGUGGAUUUCACAAUGUAAGUAAACAAAUCACAAAGAGAAACCGAGGUUUCUCAAACGCAGUUCAUGUAAGAUGGAACAACAGAUAGCGAAGAAAAACGGGUUGCAGUAUCGGGCUUGGAUUUUUCAAAAUCCCCUGAAGGCAGCUGAAGUUGCACGUGAAGGAGGAUCCCGGUUCCCUGCAGCUCAGAAAGCUUCUUAAGAGCACCAAGAGGUCCUUGGCACAUUUCAUUACUUACAGUGCACUUGGAAACUCUGCACUCCCAGGCUGUGCUUUGUUUUGUAGGUGCAACUGAGGAAGUUUAUCAGUUUGUGCCAUUUGUCUUUUUUUUUUACCCCCUUAAGCUUUAAUCCCUCGCGCCAGGGAGCACAAGCAAGCCCUUCUUGUCCUCUUGCAGAUGCUGCCAGCUGAUGUCAAAGGCAAGAGCCUGCAAAGGAGCCUUGGGCUGAAAAUGAGCCAGCUGGGAGUCUGCCAUGCCUCCCCCGCCCCCGGUGAGCACCCAGUAGCUUAUCAUUACACAAGGCACCUCGUGGAAGCAAGUCCUCCUCCCCUGGCUGGAAACGCCGCCGCAGCAGAGGUGGCACGAGGCGCUCCGCGGCGAUGCCGGCUCCGCGGCGAUGCUGGGUGGCGUGCCGGGGCCGCGCAGCCUCGCCAGCCCCGCAGCCUCUCAGAAGACAGGGUCGUCGAGGGUGCUGCUGUAGAGGUCUUCAACGAAGCUGCCGAACUCGGUCUCCGUCUCGCUGGUGCAGGGAGAGGAGAGGGCUGAUGAAGAUGAUGCUGGAGCAGUGGAGGACUUACGGCUAUACAGACAGGUCAAUCCAUAAAAGAAUCGGUGACAUCACAAAUUAACAUGUGAACAAAGAAGAAUUGGUGUCUAGAAUUCGAAGCAAAACGUGGAGUUUCAAGAACAAUUUCCAUGAAACUGACUUUCUAAUUUCAACAAUAAAUUUCUUUCAUUCUGGCGUGAAAGAGAGAGAACAAGCCGAGAAGCACCAGGAGCCAGGCCCAGCAGAAGGACGAUACGGCCCGUUAGCUGCCCACACGACUGGUACUCAGCAAAGACACCGUUUGCUGUCAAUCUCAGGCACCAACUGUUUGUUUUCCAUGAAACCAUUCUUCGUUUCUCUUAAUCCUGUCUAGCCAGGAACUGCAUUUCACUGGCUUCAUAAAGUUGCCUGUAGAAAAGACAUCGAAACCCCCUAUUUUUCUGGUGAGCUGGUUGCUGAUACAUUUCCUCAGGAAGAAUUUCUCUACCACCUCUGCCUGUGAGCAGACACAGGUAUUUCUAUCAAGGUCAACGCUUCUGCUUUGAAAAGGCAUUGCUCAGUGACCACGACCAUUAUUCUGUGCCACGU